rnacentral:rRNA from 1 species
UGGGGGAAUAUUGCACAAUGGGGGGAAACCCUGAUGCAGCAACGCCGCGUGAGCGAAGAAGUAUUUCGGUAUGUAAAGCUCUAUCAGCAGGGAAGAAAAUGACGGUACCUGACUAAGAAGCCCCGGCUAACUACGUGCCAGCAGCCGCGGUAAUACGUAGGGGGCAAGCGUUGUCCGGAAUGAUUGGGCGUAAAGGGCGCGUAGGCGGCCCGGUAAGUCUGGAGUGAAAGUCCUGCCUUCAAGGUGGGAAUUGCUUUGGAUACUGUCGGGCUUGAGUGCAGGAGAGGUAAGUGGAAUUCCCAGUGUAGCGGUGAAAUGCGUAGAGAUUGGGAGGAACACCAGUGGCGAAGGCGACUUACUGGACUGUAACUGACGCUGAGGCGCGAAAGUGUGGGGAGCAAACAGGAUUAGAUACCCU